ACUUUUCUAGAUCAUUGUAAAGCUACAUAUGCAGAAAGUUCCAGACUUUUACUCACGGAUAAUGUUUCCAGUGAUGUCCUGCGACCAGUACUUAUAAGAGCAUAUUGGGGGAAUGUGCAGAAGGGAUUCAGAUACUCAAAUAUGGACAAUAAGAAUGGACUGGAGAACUCUGAACAAGGACACUGUGAUAAAAUGUUCAGAUUCGACACAUCAUCGACACUACACUAAGUCGACACUGCUGAGGAGCUGCAGUGUGAUACAUUCUUAUGUCUUCUCUGAUAUAUACAUAUAUUUGCUUAAACCAUAUAUCUAAAUAAAUUGUUAAGAUUCUUCUUUUUAAUUGAUCUGGAGUACUAUGUGUGGUCGCCUGAGGCAGAGGGGCCGUGAGAGAAUUUUCCUGUCUAGAUUGUUUGAUGGAUACUUCUGGAAAGAAAGCUGCCAGACAGGUUUUUCGCUCUCGCACUCCAUAAAGUUGCUGUAUUGUUAAGGUUAUGUUGCAAGAAGCAUGUGUAGGAGGAAUUGUUAUUUUGGUCAUAAUUUUAAACAUGUAUGUUUUACUCUUUUGUUUUUCGAGACUCUGCGUAGUCUCGAAGGGGGGAAAUAUGUGGUAUCCGAAGGCCUAUAAAUUUAAGUUACAGUUUGUCAUAAGUUCAAGUGAUAUUUUUGUCAACAUAUGCAGUGUUAGUAAGACAUGAGGUUCAACGUCGUAAUUCUUACUACGAAAUGUUUAGGCUAGGGGCCUCUCAAUGGCCUCUGACCUUUAUCUUAAUAAAUCCCCCAUCUCCCUGUUUUACCUCACAUAUCUGUGCUAGAACCAGAUGUUUCUUUACUAUUUUCUUGAAUAAACAAUAGACCUAUAUAAAGCCUAUGUUCGACGCAUAUAGACAGAGUUGUUCAUUUGGCAGGAUGCUCUCCAAGCUCCCGGGGCUUGAAAUGAUGCUGUACCUUUUUGUAAUAAACCUUUAUAUACAAUCAA